GCAAACUUGGUCAUUUAGAGGAAGUAAAAGUCGUAACAAGGUUUCCGUAGGUGAACCUGCGGAAGGAUCAUCAUUAAAUCCAUUUAUACACCCUUGUGAACUGUGCGCUGAAGUUGCUACGCUCGUCGUGCAUCUUUCUUUGCAAUAACUACUUAAUUUAAAAAAGCUGAAGCAAUUUUAUUAAAUAAAACAACUUUCAACAAUGGAUCUCUUGGCUCUCUAGAGGAAGUAAAAGUCGUAACAAGGUUUCCGUAGGUGAACCUGCGGAAGGAUCAUCAUUAAAUCCAUUUAUACACCCUUGUGAACUGUGCGCUGAAGUUGCUACGCUCGUCGUGCAUCUUUCUUUGCAAUAACUACUUAAUUUAAAAAAGCUGAAGCAAUUUUAUUAAAUAAAACAACUUUCAACAAUGGAUCUCUUGGCUCUCGCAUCGAUGAAGAACGCAGC
rnacentral:misc_RNA from 1 species